CCACUGUACCCCUUCCCGUGCCAGAAGCCCCUGAGAAAGCUCUUCCUCUCAUCCCCGUUUUGCAGAUAAAGAAACAAGCAGGGAGUGCGGAAUGUUUUGCCAAAACCACCCAAGCAGCAGGCGCAGAGCUGAGACUCGCCCUGAGCCUGGACGCCGGUUCGGCUGCUUGCCGCCCUCCACAAAGCCUGCGUCUCCAGGAGGGCUGCGGCGGGUUCACAGAACAGCAGGGGGCCGUGCCCUUCUGGGGUGCUUGGCCAACAGCCUUGGAAAUGACAUCUCCCCCAGGAGCUUUGAUCUGGGUUCCAUGAUCCCCCUUCUCAGCGAGGGACACACAGAAGCUGGGACCUCCUGGGGCACCAUCCCCCAGGUCUGGCCAGCAGCCCUCCACCUGCAGCCAACCAUCACCCAGGCAGUGAGGCCCUCAGGGCGCUGGACAGAGCAGGUGGCCCCCACUGUGGUCCUGAGGCUCUGGGACAAUGAGGCUUCCUGCCCAGGCCACACCCAGCUUCUACUCCCUGGGAUCUCCUAGCCCCAGCCAGGCGCGGCGCGGAGGAGAGCCCGACCUUGGAUGCUAACAGCCGGGUGCAUGAAUCAGCUGAGCCCAGCUUGGAAAGCCAGCCCGACUCCUCGCACCCGCCACAGGGCCCCCUGCCUCUCUGUGCUCAACACGCUGUCCUGAGCAGAGGUGCUGAAGGGCAGCAAGGAAGUGGCAGGUCUCCCCCAAACCUCUGUGAUGACAGUGACCACAGAAUGCUCGUCUGUGCCACUCCACGCCUCAGACAACGCCUCACGCAGCCCUGCACAGGCAUGCGGCCGGGGACCUCGGCCCACAGGACCGUCUGUGAAGGUGACCCCAUGCAGCUGUGAGGUUGUGGGUGACAGCUGCACCUUGCAGGGCCAUAUCGUGUGCCCUCUGCAUCCCCUCCUUCAAAGGACCCUGCAGGACACCGAAGUUGAAAGACCCAGAGUCAGCAAUGCCACACCCACCAGGGAGCUGUUCUGGAAGUCACCCCGCAGGGCUGCCCUUAGGACCACCGCACCUCCAACUCCAACGGGGGACGCCUCUGAGGAGCGGAAGGAUGCACUUGGCUGGCGGGUCUGUGGGGUUCUGUGUGUCCUUUGGGGUCAGCCUAGCUGCUCUGGUUAGAGCCGUGGCCAGGCAGCAGAGGGUGGACCCUUUGCAGACUUGCUUGCUCUGCCCUCCAGAGCUGGAGGUGUGGAUGUGUGCCCGUGUGUGUGUGCCACAGGCCACAGAGCCACCAGUGCCUGGACCCCGUGGGCAAGGCUGCCCUCCCCUCCAGCAUGGCUUUCUCCCUGGCCUUGGACCAGGAGAGAGAUGCUCAUACCAGCCAGUAGCGCCCAAGUCCCAGCAGGAGAACAGUAACCGUUGAAGAUAUUCAGAUGGUGCUCAAUAAAUGCCCAUUUCCUCCCCCAG
ensembl:lincRNA